rnacentral:lncRNA from 1 species
GAACUUCCAUUUUGCAAAAGGGGUAAACAUAGGGGGGGUCAAAAUUGCUAUUUUGAAACAUAGAAGGCCAAAAUCGCAACUUUUUGAAAUUUAGGGGGCCAAAAGUGCUAUUUUGAAAUAUAGGGGGUCAAAAUUGCAACUUCCUGAAACUUAGGGGGCCAAAAGUGCUAUUUUGAAAUAUAGGGGACCAAAAUCGCAACUUUCUGAAACUUAAGGGGUCAAAAGUGCAAUUUAGCCAAAAUAAAAAUAAAAUCAAAAGAAAAGAAAACAAAAUGAGUAACAAAAAAUAAAAUAAAAAAUAAGACCAAUUGAAAUUCAACACCUGUUUAAUUUAAUUUAAUGUAAAAGAAAAUGUAAUCACUGCUCUCAGUUUAUCUAAUUAAUCAAUUAAAAUGAAUUUAAAAAAAAAAAAAAUUCUCUAGAACUUAUUUAUAAAAAAAUAUGAAGUUUAGUCAAAAAAAUAAAAAGAAUUAUCUAGAUGCAAAGUAUUAAUUAAUGGGUUUUGUUAACAUGUGCCCUAAGGACAUAGUAUGUUAAAAUAUACAAAAAUAAAAAUUCAACAUUUAAUUAUACAAGAAAUUUAAUGCUUUAAAAGUUAAAAUACAUAAAUUAGCAUUUAAUAAUUUCUAUUUUUGCUUCCUUAACUUGAAACUAAAAAUUAAUAUACAAGUAUUUUAAUGGAUAUAAAAUUCCAAUCUUGCCCUUAGAUAGUGGAACAAUCAAAAUUAUUAAUUCAAUUUUCAAAAUCACGUGGCAAAUGACAUAUUCUAUAAUUAUCCGUUUUUUUGCUCUCCUACGGUACAUGACUCAUUUAGCAUGCGUACCGGAGACGAGGCCAUUCAUCAUAUGCUCACGGGUAUAUGUAUAUCAAACACGACAGAUUUUAGGGUGGAGACCAUGAUAAGUCUCUCAUCAAUGCAUCACGUGUUUUGUGGAUUAGAUUGAAUAUGUACAUAAUAUUAUGGUGUAUUGUCAGUAUUAUAUUAUUUUUUAUUUAUUUUUUUGAAAAAAAAUUCUCGAUUUUUUCAGAAAAAAGUUUUCGAUAAUUUUUCAGAAAAAAUUUUGAUUUUUUUUUUCAGAAAACAGGUUCCCGAUUUUUGGGGGAAAACGUUUCGAUUUAAGAUAAAAACAAUUCCAUAAAUUUUGUCUGAACAAAAAAGCUUCCGUUCUUUUUUCGGGAAAAAAGUUCCGAUAUUUUAUUUGGAAAAAAUUUUCGGAUAUUUUUCGGAAAAAAAAGUUUUCGAUAUUUUUCUGGAAAAGUUCAAAUAUUUUAUUCGGAAAAAAAGUUUCAAAUAUUUUUUGUUUUUUCAUUUUUUUUUGUAGCAGCAAUAUUUUUUCAGAAGAACAUUUUGAAACUAUUUUCCCCAAAAAAUCGGGAAUUUUUUUCCGGAAAACAUCGGAACUUUUACCAUAAAAAAAUCGAAAACUUUUUUCCGGGAAAUAUCUGAAACUUUUUUCCCGAAAAAAGAACGGAAACUUUUUUUUCCAGAAAAACUCCGGAAUUGUUUUUAUCUGAAAUCAAAAUUUUUUCCCCCAAAAAUCGGGAACUUUUAUUCCGAAAAAAAAAUUCGAAAAUUUUUCCCGAAAAAAUAUCGAAAACUUUUUUUCCAAAAAAAUAAUAAUAUAAUACUUACAGUACAACUUAAUAUCAUAUACGUAUUCAAUCUAAUCCACAAAACUUGUGGUGCAUUGGUGAGAGACCUAUCAUAAUCUCCUACCCUAGAAUCCGUUAUCAAUCACCACAAACAAAAAAUAUUUCAUCAUAAUAAUGGAAUUAUUUUAUCAAACACCACAUGACUCACGAGUAUGUAUAUAUAUAUAUAUCAAACACCACAAACAAAAAAUAUUUCAUC